GUCGCUGAUGCAGUUCGUCGCUUUCCUUUUUAACCCCCCUCCCCUUUUUCUUUUUCUUUUCUCGAGUGAGGGUUUUCCCUCUGCUCUUGGUGGGGUCGCGGGAGCGCAGAGGGGCCGCUGAGGAGGUUUCCUUUUUCUUAUUUGGUCUUGAAUUACCAGACCUUAAUUGGUGUCAGGAUGAGAUCCUUCCCCUAUUUCUGAUAUGUUCGAUUUCAGCUCAGAUUAGGACAUGGCUCUUCCCCUGUUCCUAACAGGGCUGUGGGGGCACAUAUGGACGUUGCAG
rnacentral:lncRNA from 1 species